rnacentral:rRNA from 1 species
UGGAUCCAGACUUGAUUCUGGCUCAGGAUGAACGCUAGCUACAGGCUUAACACAUGCAAGUCGAGGGGCAGCAUGAAGUCAGCUUGCUGACUUUGAUGGCGACCGGCGCACGGGUGAGUAACGCGUAUCCAACCUUCCCCUGUCUCGGGCAUAACCCGGUGGAAACCGGACUAAUUCCCGAUGUUGUUCCUUGACGGCAUCAGAUUGGAACCAAAGAUUUAUCGGACAGGGAUGGGGAUGCGUCUGAUUAGGUAGUUGGUGAGGUAACGGCUCACCAAGCCUUCGAUCAGUAGGGGUUCUGAGAGGAAGGUCCCCCACAUUGGAACUGAGACACGGUCCAAACUCCUACGGGAGGCAGCAGUGAGGAAUAUUGGUCAAUGGGCGAGAGCCUGAACCAGCCAAGUAGCGUGCAGGAUGACGGCCCUAUGGGUUGUAAACUGCUUUUAUACGGGGAUAAAGUUGGGGACGUGUCCCCAUUUGUAGGUACCGUAUGAAUAAGGACCGGCUAAUUCCGUGCCAGCAGCCGCGGUAAUACGGAAGGUCCGGGCGUUAUCCGGAUUUAUUGGGUUUAAAGGGAGCGUAGGCCGGAGAUUAAGCGUGUUGUGAAAUGUAGGAGCUCAACUUCUGCACUGCAGCGCGAACUGGUUUCCUUGAGUACGUAGGAAGUUGGCGGAAUUCGUGGUGUAGCGGUGAAAUGCUUAGAUAUCACGAAGAACUCCGAUUGCGAAGGCAGCUGACUGUAUCGUAACUGACGCUGAAGCUCGAAAGUGUGGGUAUCGAACAGGAUUAGAUACCCUGGUAGUCCACACGGUAAACGAUGGAUGCUCGCUGUUCGGCCUUUAUGGUUGAGCGGCUUAGGGAAACCGUUAAGCAUCCCACCUGGGGAGUACGCCGGCAACGGUGCAACUCAAAGGAAUUGACGGA